rnacentral:rRNA from 1 species
AACGAACGCUGGCGGCAGGCUUAACACAUGCAAGUCGAGCGCCCCGCAAGGGGAGCGGCAGACGGGUGAGUAACGCGUGGGAACGUACCCUUUGCUACGGAAUAGCUCCGGGAAACUGGAAUUAAUACCGUAUGUGCCCUACGGGGGAAAGAUUUAUCGGCAAAGGAUCGGCCCGCGUUGGAUUAGCUAGUUGGUGGGGUAAUGGCCUACCAAGGCGACGAUCCAUAGCUGGUCUGAGAGGAUGAUCAGCCACAUUGGGACUGAGACACGGCCCAAACUCCUACGGGGGGCAGCAGUGGGGAAUAUUGGACAAUGGGCGCAAGCCUGGUCCAGCCAUGCCGCGUGAGUGAUGAAGGCCUUAGGGUUGUAAAGCUCUUUCACCGGAGAAGAUAAUGACGGUAUCCGGAGAAGAAGCCCCGGCUAACUUCGUGCCAGCCGCCGCAGUAACAC